GACUCACUUGAUUUCACGGCAGCACUAAUAGCACAUAUUUGACCAUUUCAUUGAGAAACAAUGUAAAAUACCUGCUAGAGACUUACUGGAAGACACACAAUUAAAGCAAAACAAAUUGGAAGAUCAGGUGAUUUAACAGGAACAUGCACUGAAACUAAAGAGCGACCACAGAAACACAGUUAAUGCCUACGGCUGCAGGCUUAAAAACAAAAACAUCAUCAGCUCAGAACACACUUGACUGAUCAUCCAAAAUGGAAAACUAAUCGAAAGAAGGACAGUUCCUUUUAAGCCAUGAAGAAAAAGACAAAAAGCGUCGAUGCUUUGCAAGACACAUUUUUGCUUCUUCAAACCACGAAUAAAAACAGAAAGCAAAUGCAUCUCGUCGACUCGACGCUGCACCAUCACUGCACACAUGCACAGAAAUACAAAUACAUCAUACAAACAACACAUUGCUGUGCUGACCCCGCGCACGUUGUGGAAAAAGAGCAUUUAAAAUGAAAUGAAUAAAAAACAAGUUACUGUUAA